UACAGAGGGUGCGAGCGUUACUCGGAAUUACUGGGCGUAAAGCGCGCGUAGGCGGCUUUGCAAGUCGAGUGUGAAAUCCCCAGGCUUAACCUGGGAACUGCAUUCGAGACUGCAUAGCUAGAGUAUGGGAGAGGGAAGUGGAAUUUCAGGUGUAGCGGUGGAAUGCGUAGAUAUCUGAAGGAACAUCAGUGGCGAAAGCGACUUCCUGGACCAAUACUGACGCUCAUGUGCGAAAGCGUGGGGAGCAAACAGG
rnacentral:rRNA from 1 species